UAGGAAGAGGAGCUGGAAGCAAGGAUCAGAUUGCUUGAAGUGUGAAAAAAAUGAUUACUCGCAUGCAUGCUAGCUGUUGGCGUAACACCCAGCCGAUGGAGAGAUUUUAGUUUGCUAGAUGUAUAUUUAUACUUUUGCAUGUAAUAGAACUGAAAGAUCACUUCAAAAAAUUAGGAAAUUCGUGUAUGCUAUUAUUUUUAUAUGUUCAUCACAGGAAUCGUGUUCUAAACAAAUAUAUGUUGGAAUUCAAAGUCAAAGAUUGAUCUCUUUCUUUUACUAAUCAAAUUUCAUAUAUUCUG
rnacentral:lncRNA from 1 species